rnacentral:pre_miRNA from 1 species
UUUAUACUCCCUCCGUCCAACAAAAGAUGUCUCAAGUUUGUCAAAACUUGAAUGUAUCUAGACAUGACUUAGUAUAUAAAUGUAUUCAAAUUUAGUCAAAAUUGAGACAUCUUUUAUUGGACGGAGGGAGUAUAUG